rnacentral:rRNA from 1 species
UAAUACGUAGGGCGCAAGCGUUGUCCGGAAUUAUUGGGCGUAAAGAGCUCGUAGGCGGUCCGUCGCGUCGGGUGUGAAAGCCCACAGCUUAACUGUGGGUCUGCAUUCGAUACGGGCGGACUUGAGGCAGGUAGGGGAGAACGGAAUUCCCGGUGUAGCGGUGAAAUGCGCAGAUAUCGGGAGGAACACCGGUGGCGAAGGCGGUUCUCUGGGCCUGUACUGACGCUGAGGAGCGAAAGCGUGGGGAGCGAACAGGAUUAGAUACCCUGGUAGUCCACGCCGUAAACGUUGGGCGCUAGGUGUGGGGUCCUUCCACGGAUUCCGCGCCGUAGCUAACGCAUUAAGCGCCCCGCCUGGGGAGUACGGCCGCAAGGCUA